rnacentral:rRNA from 1 species
UAAUGCAUCGGAACGUGCCCUGAAGUGGGGGAUAACGUAGGGAAAGUUACGCUAAUACCGCAUAUUUUGUGAGCAGGAAAGCAGGGGAUCUUCGGACCUUGCGCUUUUGGAGCGGCCGAUGUCGGAUUAGCUAGUUGGUGGGGUAAAGGCCCACCAAGGCGACGAUCCGUAGCGGGUCUGAGAGGAUGAUCCGCCACACUGGAACUGAGACACGGUCCAGACUCCUACGGGAGGCAGCAGUGGGGAAUUUUGGACAAUGGGCGCAAGCCUGAUCCAGCCAUGCCGCGUGAGUGAAGAAGGCCUUCGGGUUGUAAAGCUCUUUCGGUGGGGAAGAAAUUGCUU